ensembl:lncRNA
GGGUGGGGUGGGGGUGGCUCCUCCGCGCGGCCCUUCCCCAGCUCGUGCGCUGCCUGAGCCUGCCAGGGCUCCCGCCUGGCCCACAGUCGGAUAGGAAAAGGAACUCGCGGGCCAGAGGCUCCAGCAAGAGUAUACAAAUCCAACUUUAUCAUUUCAUUCAAAUGUCAUAACAGUCCCAUAUUUUAACGAUUUCAGAUGACACCUUGAGUAUAAACUCAGUUUCUAUACGUUUGUGUUUAUUUCCUGUAUUUCGUUCCAUUGAUCUGUGUGCACAUACAUAUUGUGGCUUUGUGAUAGGGCUCACUGUCUCUUAAGAAGAGUCGGUUGUUGAGUAUGUUUUGGAUUGAUCCAGGGAAAGUGGUAGGGACAGAAUAGGUCCACAGUUCAGAACGGGCCUGUCAGGCAUGUCCAGCACUUUUGGAUUGGUAGGUGGGGCAAUAAGGACAGCAUAUUGACCUUAGCAAGCUCUUCAGGUUUUCAGUGUCGUGUGGCCAGCGAAUGGUAGGAAGGUUGAUUAAAUUAUUCAAGCAGUCAAUGCUCACCCCCAACAGGUAGCAAAUCAGGGUUUUCCUGGAGUGUCAUAGUGUGCUUCAGACUUUGGCCAGAAUUACUGUAAAUAGUUUAAUUAUAAAUCACUUUAUUAAGAAUUCACAAGACAGAGGCUGGGGAUUUAGCUCAGUGGUUCUGGCGCCUGCCUCGAAAGCACAAGGUCCUGAGUUCGAUCCCCAGUACCAAAAAAAAAAAAAAAAAAAGCACAAGACAAAAUUGGAAGGCUGUUGUUUGGAAUUAGCUAACAAGGAUUUUUAAAAAGUUGGACAGGACCAGGGUGUGGUGUCACGUCUCUGUAAUCCCAGUAGUUGGGAGGCUGAGGCAGGAGGAUCAGUAAUUUGAGGCCACCUUGAGCUACCUGGUGAAACCCUGUCUCAAAAAAGGAAAGCUAAAAAAACAGAAACCUCCACUAGCAUGUGGUAGGCCCUGGGUUUGUUCCCCAGCACUACUGGAAAAAAAGUUAAGGUAGAAUUUCACAGAUCAGAUUGUGCUCUGCCUUUGGGCCACCCGGUUAUGUAAAUGCAGGAGGAGUAUGUGUAUAGCAGAAAUAGAGGCGUUCAGGGCUGUCUAGGGGAGCUAUGGGGACCUUCCUACACAGGUUCGCUGGAGUACAGGCAAAUGCAGCAGGUGGUGCAGAGGUGGAGGAGCAGGGAUGCAACUGGAUGGUUUGCAAGGCUUGUUAGUGAAGGGCCUCAAAAUUGUGCUUAGCGGUUUGGGCUUUCUAAGUAGUGAGGAUUCCUUUAAGGCUUAUCCUUAGGAGGGAACUGACUUGUUCUAUUUCCAGUCAGCUUUGACAUCCUUGGGGCGGGGGGAAUUGGAGCCCAAGAGAUGAGAAAGGAGAUGUGCUGGCAGAGUUUAGGGAGGAGGAUAGUGGGAGAGCUGACUUUGGUCAGGAGCCAAGAGUGGGAACAAGGGGCUUGAGCUGCCUUACCGUGCCAGAGUCCCUUCAGCCUGCCACCUGGACUCAGUUGCCACAUAGCCACAGACACUGCAGUUCCAGGGACCCUUGCCACAGCUGGCUGGGCUGAGCUGUCCCAGUUUUCCUUCUUUUCCUAGAAAGAGCUGGCUGCCCAGCCCAGCAUUCCACAUUCUGUUGUCUCUUAAGUAUGAUAAGUCAGUGUCCUUACUGUUUACACUGUUGGAAUCUGGAAUCUAAAUGAUUUCCCAAACGACAAGGCCUGGAGACAAGGGAGUAGUUUUAGGAUGGAAGAGGUAAAAGAGACAAUUUACAGAAGUAUUUCUUGUGCUUAUGUUGAACAAGCAAGUACAGGGGAAACAUACAUGAUACCUCUCCAGAGGAAUUCAUGAUCUGGUAACAUUGUAGAAUGUAUCACUUGAACAGCACCUGUGGGGAAUAAGCAACUGCAGAUGUGGGGUUUGGACCUCAGGAGAGGGCUGGACUGGAGACCUGGGAGGUGGGAAAUCACCGGGGGAGUUGAUUGGAAUGAAAAGCGGUGUGAGUAUAGAACCAAGAUAACACCACAUUUAGGGCCAACAGGGGCCUUUCAAGGAGAGCAAAGAGAACUUGAAGAGGAGCCAGGCGGGGUGGCAGAUGCCUGAAUUCCCAGCUUUCAGAAGCUGAGGCAGAAGGAUUGCAAGUUUGAGGCCCACCCUAGACCCUGUCUCAAAAUAAAAAGAAAAAUGGGCUGGGGAUGUAGCUCAGAGCAAAGGCCCUAGAUUUAAUCUCCAAUAUCUAAAAGUAAAAACAAACAAAAGUGGGUAGGGUGGUGUCUCAGUAAAUAUGAGAAGUUUCAGGCAGGAGGGGGAAAAAUCAGUCUUUUUGAGAAAUGCCUGUCGGAUGUGUCACCAUUCAGUGACCUCAUAGCACAGUCUGUCGAAGCUUCCCUGCUCUUAAAGGCCUGAGCCCAUCGACACGGAGAAUGGGCUGGACUGUAGGAUACUCCUGGACCUGCACACCCUUCUCCCUCACUUCUUGCAAGCCAAGGAGACUUGGAGGGGCAGCUGUCAGCAUAGAUCCUGUGGAGCCUACAGGUGCCACUUCCCUGGCUUUGGUCUCCACAGGUUGAUCUUCAGUCCUCCUGCCUGGUUUACCCUUCCAGUUCUGGUCUCUGCCUGCUUGGAUACUGUUUUAAAAGGCUCAAUGAAUGGCCUCUCUGCUACCUGGCCAGUGGGUUUCUCUACAGUAACUCAUCUGUAGCAUCCUCUGGGCAGGGACUGUGUUGGGAAUUCUUUUCUCCCUGUGGUUCCUAGUAAACUGCUUGGCAUAAAGGAGGUAUGAGAGGAUGGAGUGGCAGGGAGGGUGGUAAAUGAAUGUUUCUGUGGGUGAUCCAGAGUCCAAGAGAAAGCUGUCAUUCCUAGUCCUUUGUGAUUGUGCUUGGCCUUCCUUAUUUGUGUUGGAUUAUCCCAGGUUCCUUCAUCUUUUUGACUUGGAAUUCCAAGCUGGUGGAUGGUAUAAAAUGAUCGGAGGACAGUCGGGGAUUUAGCUCAGUGGUUCUGCCGCCUGCCUCGAAACCACAAGGUCCCGAGUUUGAUCCCCAGUACCAUAAAUAAACAAAUUAAAUUAAAUAAAAAGGGCAACUGAAUUUAGAUAGUGUCUGAGACCCAAGAAUAUGGCUUAAUCACUGCUUUACCACAUAGGAGAUGGAGAAACAAGCUAUGGUAGACUUGAAGGACUUGUGGUCAAAAAGAUAUAUAAUAAAAAUAAGAUAAUAUAAUAAAAUAAGAUAUGUAAUAAAAAUAAGAUUCAUUUAUUCUUUCAUUCUUGGAGACAGCUUCUUGUUCUACUCUGGAUUGAUUCAUUAUUCUUUUGAUCUGAUUUCCUUGUUGUUCAGAACUGCCCUUACCUGUUUCCUGGAUCCCAUGGCUCCAGUAGCUUUUUGAGAAAGGCUGCAAAGAAGAUAAAAAGAUUUACUUCAUACAGUUCUGAAAAUAAAUUUAUUUUAACAUUUAACAAUAUGGUCAGUUACAGGAGGUCAGAAUAUAUUUUCCCUUAAAUUUCUGUAGAUAUUUUCCCAUUUCCUCUGGUUUCCGAUUUGGUGCCACCAGGUGUGGUGGCAUAGGGCUGUAAUCCUUACACUUGGGCUGAGGCAGGAGGAUUGCUGGGAGUUCAAGGCCAGCCUGGACUACAUAGCAAGACCCUGUCUUAAAAAAGAAAGUUUGGGGGCUGGGGAUUUAGCUGACUGGUUCUGCUGCCUGCCUUGCAAGCGCAAGGUCCUGAGUUUGAUCCCCAGUACCAAAAAAACAAAGAAAAAGAAAGUUUGAUGCCAUUUUGACUCACUUUCCAUUUGACCUUUCUUUUUUUUCCCCUUGUCCCUACCAUUUUGAAUUUUACAGUGGAGUGUCUUGUUCCAAGUCUGUUUAUAUUCAUUUUAUUGACAUUUAUUGGGUUGAAUCAAUCUGGAACUAAUAUUCCUUUAUUUCUAGAAAAUUUUCUCAUAAUUUUUUUGGUUUUCUUUCUUUUCAUUGUUUUUUUCUUCUCUCAUUUGGAAAUCCUACUGUGUAUUUAGAUGUUGAAUUUUGAAUGUAUUUCCUAAUUUUCCCUACCAUUUCUCCCUUGUUUUCUAUUUCUCUGUCUUUUUGUUCUGGGAGAUUUCAUUAACGUUUCCUCCAAAGCUUCUUUUGAAAUUUUAGUUUUUGCUAUCAAAUUUUUAUUUCCAAGGGGUCUUCCUUGCUCUCCAAUAAAUCCCUCCCGCUCUUUCUCUCCCUCUCUCCGUGAGGUUCUUUUUAUGAAAGCACCAUAGCAGUACUAUUCCUCUCUUAUCUCACUUUUUAUAGUAAUGAUAAUUUUUAAAAAGCUCUCUCUUUCUCCUUUUUAUCUCUCUUUUCUCCAAGUUCCCUUUCUGUUUAGUUUGUUUGUUUUUUGUUUUUUGAGACAGGGUCUCCUGACGUAGUUCAGGCUGGCCUUGAAUUCAUAGCAUCCUGCCUCAGCGUCUCAAGUGCUGGGACCACAAGCAAUAUCUGUAGAUAAUUUCUCUUGCCUGUGCCGAUUCAUAAAUAGGCCCACUCCUAAAUAGGAAUGUCUUAACUCAGGGCAUAAACUUGGCUGCUGGUUUUGAGGAAGCUUGGGUGGGGUGGGGACUGGGAAUUCCCUUGUCUAGUAUGUUGUUUUGAGCAUAGAAUUGUAACCUGCUGUCACCCCUGGCUAGUGUCUCCAGAAAUAAAACAAUUUUCCCAAAUGUUGGGUGGAGAUAGUUGCCUGAUUGUGCGGAUAAGGGACAGACAUCUGGGGAUAAAACUACUACUUUUCUAAGUAGCUAAUUUUCUAGUGUUCAGUUUUCUGUACCCUUUGCCUUCAGAGGUGCUGGGGCCUACACUUUCUAAGCCUUUUCAGGACUCUGUCAGGACUUGGCUUACUUUUUUGGGGGGUUUAUGACUCCGGAUAUGCUUCCUCCAUGCAUUUAAUAUCCAUCUUUUUUCAGUCUAUUAAAGCAGUUAUCACCUGACUGCUUCCAGAUGACAAAAUUUGCUGACUCUUGCAUCUGUAUUUGUCACUGCUCUAUCUUUGUUCAUGUGAAUUUUUAUGUUUAAAAAAACUUCUUUGCUGUCAUUCUAGUGGAGGUUUAGGACAGAAUGCAUAAAGAUAUGUUCAGUCAUCCUUUCUAAAAGAAAUCAAAAGCAUCUGCAGUAUGUCCUUGGACUUAGAAGUAGCACUCUUAUCUUGGUUAUCAAAGCCAGCUUCCUCAGGCAUAUUGUGCAGUGGAUGGAUGUAUCAUCUUGGAAAUAAAAAAUGACAGAU